AUUGAACGCUGGCGGAAUGCUUUACACAUGCAAGUCGAGCGGCAGCACGGGGGCAACCCUGGUGGCGAGCGGCGAACGGGUGAGUAAUACAUCGGAACAUGCCCAGUCGUGGGGGAUAACACUUCGAAAGAAGUGCUAAUACCGCAUACGUCCUGAGGGAGAAAGCGGGGGAUCUUCGGACAUCGCGCGAUGGGAGUGGCCGAUGUCAGAUUAGCUAGUUGGUGGGGUAAAGGCCUACCAAGGCAACGAUCUGUAGCUGGUCUGAGAGGGUGAUCAGCCACACUGGGACUGAGACACGGCCCAGACUCCUACGGGAGGCAGCAGUGGGGAAUUUUGGACAAUGGGGGCAACCCUGAUCCAGCCAUUCCGCGUGAGUGAAGAAGGCCUUCGGGUUGUAAAGCUCUUUCGGCAGGAACGAAACGGCGACUCUAAUACAGUUGCCUCAUGAUGGUACCUGAAGAAUAAGCACCGGCUAACUACGUGCCAGCCGCCGCAGUAAGAC
rnacentral:rRNA from 1 species